GGUUAUGGCUCAGUGAUAGAGAGCUCACCUCACACGUGCAAGGCCCUGGGUUCGAUCCUCAGCACCA
rnacentral:tRNA from 1 species